CAGCCGCCACGGUAAUACGUAGGGUCUGAGCGUUGUCCGGAAUUACUGGGCGUAAAGAGCUCGUAGGUGGUUUGUCGCGUUGUUCGUGAAAACUCACAGCUCAACUGUGGGCGUGCGGGCGAUACGGGCAGACUGGAGUACUGCAGGGGAGACUGGAAUUCCUGGCGUAGCGGUGGAAUGCGCAGAUAUCAGGAGGAACACCGGUGGCGAAGGCGGGUCUCUGGGCAGUAACUGACGCUGAGGAGCGAAAGCGUGGGGAGCGAACAGGAUUAGAUACCCGCGUAGUCCCUGUCUCUUAACA
rnacentral:rRNA from 1 species